AUUAUAUUUUUUAUAAAGUUUUAUUAUAGCUUUGAAAUUAGCUACUGAAUUUUUGUAUAUGUGAAUAAUAGUAAGGUUCAAUUUUAUAAAAAUUGAUUUUAGUUGCAGUAUUUACUUUUAAGUUUUACGUAAUUGUAGAUUUAGGAAUUUUUUUUGUAUGGACUAAGUUUGUGCCAGCAGUUGCGGUUAUACAAACUAUGCAAGCUAAUUUUUUUUAGUAUAAUUAGGUGUUAAUUAGAAAAUGAAGAAAUAAUUUUUUAGGUGAAAUUUUAUAUUUUUGAAUAUUUUGUUUAAUGCUUCUGAAGUUAGGAAAUUUGAUUUAUAAACUAGGAUUAGAUACCCUAUUAUUACAAAUAUGAAUUUUUUACUUAAAAUGAUUAUUAGUUAUGUUCUUUAAAGUUAAAGAAUUUGGCGGUAUUUUAGUCUUUUCAGAGGAACCUGUUUUUUGAUUGAUAAUCCACGAUAAGUUUUACUUUUGUUUUUAAUUUAUAUAUCGUCGUUUAUAAAGAUUUUAUUAGAAUUAUAAUUUUUGAUUUUUUAAUUAAAAUUGAGUUCAGAUCAAGGUGUAGUUAAUAUAAAAGUUAAAAUGGGUUACAUUGUAUUUAUAUAUGGUUAUUUUAUUGAAAAUAAUAUAUAAAUUGGAUUUGAAAGUAAUGUUGUUAUUUAUGCAACUUGAUUUAGCUCUAAAAUAUGCACAUAUCGCCCGUCGCUUUCACUUUAAGGUGAAAUAAGUCGUAACAGAGUAGGUUUAUUGGAAAAUGAGCCUGGAAUGA
rnacentral:ncRNA from 1 species